rnacentral:misc_RNA from 1 species
GUGAAUCAUCGAAUUUUUGAACGCAAAUUGCACUCUCUUCUGAUAGUAUGCCUGUUUGAGUUUCAGCCUAAAAAAAAUCGACAUAGUCGCUGUUUCGCGGUGACAUUCGUCGGAAGUUGGGUCAUCUUAAACCUUUGUGGUUUAAUCGGCUUAAAAUUUUCUUUACGAUUCCACUAACGUUUCUCAGAUUUACUUCUUGCGCGUUUAAGGUAAUCGAUCUUUAUUGGACGUG